CACGUUUAACAUCUUCUGUCGGUUGAAUUUAAUCACAAACCUAAAUCUGCCUGUAGCUGUGGGAGUGGCGCAGGUGAUUAAAUGAUUGCCUGUUCUUGAUGGGAAAGACAUUAGCUGCCCUGUUUAGUACACAGACAUGUCACAACAGGUAGCUUUUGUUUUCACUUCGCCUAUAAUUUUCUUAUUAUAAUUGUUUAGAUGCGUGACGUGUUUACAUAGCCUAUGAAAUAAGCCUAUUAACAUGUACAGAAUAUUGCUCAUAACAAAGUAAGCCUCUGACUAUAUAGAAUCUUGAUAGAGGUCGUACAGGUUUAGACUCCAUAAAACCAAACAAACAGCGGCCCUGGAGUGUCACACUUUCAUUAGAGCAGGUCAGUCCCCAAAUUGUCUAUCGACCGAAGAGCAUAAAGACAAAAGCUCGGUUCAUGUCUUUGCAAGCACACCAAGUAUGGACAGAGAGAGUGAGUUCUUACCAUGAUUACAGUAUUUCUGCUGCCUUCCCAGCUGUGUCGGGAACAAAUGAGUCCAAAGCAGCUCGCUGCAGAGCUCUCACAUGAAAGACGCCUUUCAGAGCUCCUCCGCCUCUGUGAGGGUAGAGGAGGCUGACAUGGAGGUGGAAUCUGCCCGGGCCAGGUAGCACACCCCGAGGCAAACAGCCCUGUGACACAGCAGGCAGCUGAGGCGGUUUGUUGUGCAACUACACCAGCUCUCCGCCUCCAUGUUGCUCCCCCUCAGCUCUUCAUUUGUUGAGGCCUCAUUGCAACUCACCAACUGUCAGCCACAAGGCCUGCAGAGACCGCCCAGGGGCAUUUAGGAGACUUGCAACAACCUCACUGCCCCACCCACUGGUUGUAGAUCCUCGCUGCACCCUUGGAAGGGUCAGGGUCUCCAGUCAUAUUGGAAAAGCAAGUUUGAAAGAUAAUGCUGAAGCAUGAGGAGCAAAGCGCAAUUCAUUCCCGCAUGGUUAGUAUUAAAGGCACGUCAUGAAUUGGAUGGACUGGAAUUGAAAUAAUCUAUUUCUCUAUAUUUUACAUUCCAAUGCAAGUUUCCUAUCAGCUGUGUUGUGUUUGGAGUGGCACGGUGGACACAGAUGACUGAUCACCACCCUCUUUCAGAAAAUAAGAACGUGACUCACUGCCGCUCCCUCCUUCACCGCCCACAUCACCACAGCAACCUUCUUCAAUCAUGUGCUUUUAUUUCGCUGGUCUUCCAUUCAGAAACAAGGGAGUAACGAGAAUCAUGUGGUGAAAACAGAGCUUCUCUAACUUUGUUUGAGGGAAGAAAUACUUACCAGGAGAGGAAAUCCUGCAGACACUCAGACAUCCCAAUUAGUCAGAGAGCCUUCUUGGUAAUGAACUUAGAAGCAUAGCAUUACAUAACCUCAGAUAUUCAGACAUUCGCUUUCACUAGUGUCUGCCCACACAAGUCCUCUUUUUCUGAACCCUGCUGCCACUAAUUCAGAACUAAAGGCCCCCCCACUGUGCUCUCCACACUCUCUCUAAGUAAGGUUUAUUAACACAAAGACGGUGGGGUGAGACUAAGCAACACUUCUAAGCGUUACCUGCUGAACUGAGUAAUCUGCUAUAUUGACAUUUUAAUGACUAGUGAUACUUCGACCAUUUCUCUCUGCUCAGUGAUAAAGAAGAAAGAUAUUUCACCUGUGUGGUUUCCUGUACUCAGAAAUACGAAAGGGAGAAAAAGGUGAGGGAUAGUAUUGCAUGGCUUGUUUGAUACCAUGUUAGUUUUACUAUUGAUUCCCAGCUCCACUCUCUAUGCCAGCUGUUAUAUCUUGCAAAUCAGACAACAAAUGAGCUUAGAUCAAAAUAUGAUCAUUCACAAAAUUUGUGAUGGAAUAUUAUCUCCCUUAAUUGAAAAGGUGACCAUAUAGCUAAAGUCCUCCCAGAAAAUGAUUCGAGGAAACUAAUUACAUUUGCACAGCUCAGCCCCAGCUGCCCGCCUUACUGAAAAACAUAAGCUGUGUCUGUGGAGUAAAGAAGAGUGUUUUUUAACAUUAAUUUCCCUGAUGCCUCAGAAAAAAGGAG